AGGGAUGUGUUUAAAAUUUUUCGAACUAACAGAUAGGGCCUUACUCUCUUCAAGAGUAGCGGUCAUUUGAGUUUGAAUAGCCGCUAUUUGUCGGGUGAGUGCAUCGAAUUGUGAGGGGUUCAUGUUUAAGGUACUAGAGCUAGAAGUGACAAGAUGACCAAUAUGUAACUACAUGCAAAGCAAUACUGCCUAAAUGAAAUGCAAUAGAGAGACCAAUAUGCAUCAAGGACCAACGAUUAAAACAUCAAUUUGAAAUUCUCUCUCUCUUUUCUUCCCUUCAAAAAAUGCAAGUUAAUAGUGCUGAUGCUUGUAAAUAAUAAAGUAAGGGUCCAAUGCUUGUUAAGAUCAAAUGGUAUUGUCAAGAUUUCCAAUCAGGUAAAUAAAAGAGGUAACAAUGGCACAUCAAUUCAGUGAGAUAAAUGGGGCAACAAUGGCAAGUCAAUUCAAUGAGUGAUUCCAGUCAAGUGAAGUUUGAGGCCAAAGUUGUGAUAGUAACAACAACACAAAGAAUCUAAGUGAUACACUUUUAAAAUAAAACAGCAGUAUAAACCAAUGAGAAUUAGGAGAUAGCAACUCCCUGUAGUCUAGUUGCUUGAAUUGCUAACGAUUGGGCCUCUGAUCUGCCUGUGUCAAAUGUCUCCAGCUCCUGAACUCACGGUCAUUACAUAUUCUAAAUUGUUGGCUUCACUGAAAUUGGACAGAUGCUGAAUUAGAAACCUCUGUGUAACUGAAUGGGUUGCUUGGUAGUAGACUGAAACUGUAGACGCUGGCUUAUGGAAAUAAUGAGCAAUGGCAAUUCACAAAUGGCAAGAAGUGGUCGGCUUCUGGGAUAAUGAACAAUGGCCGACCGAUUGAUGGUCGGCCGACUAAGUGGUGAAGUCCGACUGGGGUGCAAGUCGGCGACGGUGACGGGUAGGAGGGAACGAGCGACUGGACAUCGUGGGUAUUGACGGGGUGAGCUGCUGGUCGUGGGGAGUGACAGGAUGAGUUAGGGCUCGGGUUAGGAAAUUGAUUUGGGUAGUGAGAUAGGAGUUGGGUUGGGCCGGGUAUUGUGAGUUGGGCCGGCGAUUGGUGUAAUGGGCUAAUGUGGGUGUGGGCUGGAUAAUUGGUUUGUAUGGUAAUUGGGUCUUAUGGGCUUGGAGUAUAAGUAGAGUUGGAAUAAUUAAUCAAUGGGCUACUGUAAUUGGGUUAGGGAUAUGGGCUUGACCGAGUCUAUGGAUUACGAAUUAGUGGGUUAGGUGGGUUUGGGCUGUGUUCAAUAUGGGCUGAGUUUAGACUGAAAAUUAUGUUGGGCAGGAAUAUAUGUUGGGCUAGAAUAUAUGAAAUUGAAAAAAAAAAUAUAAGCUAGGGUUUGAAACAGCAAUUUUAAUGCAAAAGGAAGCAGCAAAUCAAUCAAAUUGAAUAGCAGAUUUUUUUUUUAUUUUUUAUUUUUUUAUUUUUUAUUUUUUUUUACAGAAUGAAAAUAAAAAAUUUGGAAUCCGGGUGUGAACAGUACCCGUGAACAGUAACACGAAUUUUUUUUUUCCUUCUUCUUUCUUUCUUAUUCAUCCUACAUCAAACACCAAUACCACUCUCAUUAUCUCCCCCUAACUUAGCUGAGGAAUUUUUAGUUGCAAUUUGCAAGUCAUCCUUGUACCGAAAAAUUUGGGAGAAAAGAAGAGAUUUUGGAUUGUAAAAGAAAGUACCCAAGAUUCGGCUCUGAUACCAAAUUUGAUGUAGGAUGAAUAAGAAAGAAAGAAGAAGGAAUGGGGAGGAGAAACAGAGAUAAGGGAGAAGAUGAGAAGAAACCAGGGGAAGAGAGGGGAGGGAGAAAACGGCUGCAAGCCACCAAAAAUAUUUCAAUUCUAAUUCAUCAUCAACUGUCUCAAAUGAGAAAUAAAACAGAAAUAAAUAGCAGAACACAAACCCUAAAGAGAAGGGCUUGGGCC
rnacentral:lncRNA from 1 species